rnacentral:rRNA from 1 species
AACGAACGCUGGCGGCAUGCCUAACACAUGCAAGUCGAACGAGACCUUCGGGCCUAGUGGCGCACGGGUGCGUAACGCGUGGGAACCUGCCCUUAGGUUCGGAAUAACUCCCCGAAAGGGGUGCUAAUACCGGAUAAUGUCUUCGGACCUAAGAUUUAUCGCCUGUGGAUGGGCCCGCGUUGGAUUAGCUUGUUGGUAGGGUAAAAGCCGACCAAGGCGACGAUCGAGAGCUGGUCUGAGAGGAUGAUCGGCCAGACUGGGACUGAGAUACGGCCCAGACUACGCCGGUGUGCAACAGUGGGGACUAUUGCGCAAUGGGCGGGGGCCUGAUGUAGCAACCCCGCUUGCGGGAUAACGGCAGUAGCGUUGUAUACCGCUUUCGCCUGUGACGAGGCGUGAGUGACGGUAACGGGUAAAGAAGCACCGGCUAACUACGCG